rnacentral:lncRNA from 1 species
UCCUCAUCUAAUGCAUCUCUUCUUCUUCUAUCAACGAUCAUCUGUCCUCAUCUAAUGCAUCUCUUCUUCUUCUAUCAACGAUCAUCUGUCCUCAUCUAAUGCAUCUCUUCUUCUUCUAUCAACGAUCAUCUGUCCUCAUCUAAUGCAUCUCUUCUUCUUCUAUCAACAAUCAUCUGUCUUCAUCUAAUGCAUCUCUUCUUCUUCUAUCAACGAUCAUCUGUCCUCAUCUAAUGCAUCUCUUCUUCUUCUAUCAACGAUCAUCUGUCCUCAUCUAAUGCAUCUCUUCUUCUAUCAACAAUCAUCUGUCCUCAUCUAAUGCAUCUCUUCUUCUAUCAACGAUCAUCUGUCUUCAUCUAAUGCAUCUCUUCUUCUUCCAUCAACAAUCAUCUGUCUUCAUCUAAUGCAUCUCUUCUUCUUCUAUCAACAAUCAUCUGUCCUCAUCUAAUGCAUCUCUUCUUCUUCUAUCAACGAUCAUCUGUCUUCAUCUAAUGCAUCUCUUCUUCUUCUAUCAACAAUCAUCUGUCCUCAUCUAAUGCAUCUCUUCUUCUUCUAUCAACGAUCAUCUGUCCUCAUCGAAUGCAUCUCUUCUUCUUCCAUCAGGAGGAGGCAUGACGAGAGAGAAAUAUUUGAGGAGCACGCAGACUGCCAAACUCUCCUACGGUGUUCUCAUCAUCAAGAGCAGCAUCUAUGGAGCCUGUGUAGCGUUUCUGGUGUGGAAGCUGCAGAGAUCAGCUGGGAAGCAGAACCACUGAGAGCUGAGAGCUGAACAAACCACUUUAUGUUGGUGUCUGUAAAUAGGAUUUGUAGAGCAUCGUGGAUUUAUUUCUUCAGCGUGUGUCACGGCAUAUUUGCAUUCACAUAAAUGAGAAACUCAAAUUCUGCCAACAUUAGAGGAACAUUAUUCUUUUUACAAUAUUAAAGCUAUAACUGGCAUGGAAGUAAGUUUGGUAUAAAUCCUUUGACAAACACUUGGUUGUGAACUAUUUGAUGAUUUGAGUUUUCUUUAAAAUAAAAAGUAUGUCAGUGUAUUUUGUCUGUCAUGUUUUCAUUUUAGUUUCUGCUGA